rnacentral:rRNA from 1 species
UACGUAGGGGGCGAGCGUUGUCCGGAUUUAUUGGGCGUAAAGAGCGUGUAGGCGGCUUGGUAGGUCUCGCGUCAAAACCUGCGGCUCAACCGCAGUUCGCGUGGGAAACCACCUAGCUAGAGUCCGGAAGAGGAGAACGGAAUUCCCAGUGUAGCGGUGAAAUGCGCAGAUAUCAGGAAGAACACCCGUGGCUAAGGCGGCUCUCUAGUACGGUACUGACGCUGAGACGCGAAAGCGUGGGGAGCGAACAGG